CUUUCCCUGAAGAGACGAAGUGAUCAAGAGAUUGAAGACGAGUGAACUAAUUUUUUUAUAAAAGUUCACCACGACUCCUCCUUCUCUCACAAGUCGAAACUCAGAGUCGGAAAG
rnacentral:hammerhead_ribozyme from 16 species